AGAGCGAACGCUGGCGGCAGGCCUAACACAUGCAAGUCGAGCGCCCAGCAAUGGGAGCGGCAGACGGGAUAGUAACACGUGGGAACGUACCUUUCAGUUCGGAACAACCCAGGGAAACUUGGGCUAAUACCGAAUACGCCCGUAAGGGGAAAGAUUUAUCGCUGAAAGAUCGGCCCGCGUCUGAUUAGCUAGUUGGUGGGGUAAUGGCCCACCAAGGCGACGAUCAGUAGCUGGUCUGAGAGGAUGAUCAGCAUCACUGGGACUGAGACACGGCCCAGACUCCUACGGGAGGCAGCAGUGGGGAAUAUUGGACAAUGGGCGCAAGCCUGAUCCAGCCAUGCCGCGUGGAUGAUGAAGGCCCUAGGGUUGUAAAGUCCUUUCGGCGGGGAAGAUAAUGACGGUACCCGCAGAGAAGCCCCGGCUAACUUCGUGCCAGCAGCCGC
rnacentral:rRNA from 1 species